rnacentral:rRNA from 1 species
UGAGUAACCUGCCCCAGACUCUGGGAUAAGCACUGGAAACGGUGUCUAAUACCGGAUACGAACUUCAGCCGCAUGGCUAGGAGUUGGAAAGAAUUUCGGUCUGGGAUGGACUCGCGGCCUAUCAGCUAGUUGGUGAGGUAACGGCCCACCAAGGCGACGACGGGUAGCCGGCCUGAGAGGGUGACCGGCCACACUGGGACUGAGACACGGCCCAGACCUCCGUACGGGGAGGCAG